rnacentral:rRNA from 1 species
GAUGAACGCUAGCGGCAGGCUUAAUACAUGCAAGUCGUGGGGCAGCAGGUCUGUAGCAAUACAGAUGCUGGCGACCGGCAAACGGGUGCGUAACACGUACGCAACUUACCCAUUACAGGGGAAUAGCCCAGGGAAACUUGGAUUAAUACCCCAUAUUAUAUAGGAUUGGCAUCAGUCUUAUAUCAAAGCUUCGGCGGUAAUGGAUGGGCGUGCGGUUGAUUAGAUAGUUGGCGGGGUAACGGCCCACCAAGUCUACGAUCAAUAGCUGAUGUGAGAGCAUGAUCAGCCACACGGGCACUGAGACACGGGCCCGACUCCUACGGGAGGCAGCAGUAAGGAAUAUUGGGCAAUGGACGAAAGUCUGACCCAGCCAUGCCGCGUGAAGGAUGAAGGUCCUCUGGAUUGUAAACUUCUUUUAUCUGGGGCGAAAAUCACCCUUUCUAGGGUGCUUGACAGUACCAGAGGAAUAAGCACCGGCUAACUCCGUGCCAGCCGCCGCCGUAAUAC